AUGGCUCACCUGCUGUUCAAGGCUGGGCAGCCUGCACUUUUCCAGAAUCUUAUCUUCCUCCUCCCAUUGUUGCCACACAUGUGCCUUACCUCACGUGUCACAGGAGGUCCCAAAGGUCCUAGUCUUAUGAGCCUCCUCUCUUCCUUCUCACUGAGCCAUGGCCUGUGUCAUGGGGCACAGCUAAACAUCUCACUCAAUAUCCAACUCAACAAAGGAAAGGCGGGCUUUCAGACAGGGUCCCCCAGUGGUUUGGGACAGUGUGGUCAUGAGCCAUUGGAAGAAGACAAAGGAGCUCACUUAAGGGCUCACACACCACAUCUCGGGGACAGGCCACUGGGUGACAGCACAGGUGUGAUCUACAAGCAGCUGAGGACAAAGCCCCGGAGAAGUCCAGGUGACAGACAAUUCAGGAAUUUCUUCUGGGAGCCCCAAGGAUCCCUGUGCCCAGACUUCAGCUUGAAUAUAAAAGCUCCGAGGAAAGUUGUCCAAGUGGUGUGUUCUUUUUUUUCAAGAGCAAACACCUCAUCAAUAAGAGCUGGCAUUAAAAUACACUAAAGUAAUUGAUCUUGGGAAUAAUGAGGACAAAACAUUGGAUGAUCCAACUUCUCCACCUACAGCUAAGGUCAGGCUCAGAGGAGGUCAUGAAUGUAUUGACUCAUAAGACGUAGCACUGGCCUGCAGAAGUCAGUUGGGAGCAAAAUAAUUGUAAUAGUUCCAGAAAUAAUCAGAUUAAUUCAGGCAUUGGGGUUAGGUAGGUCCCCAGCAAUGCUUCUCAUAGUUCUUUGUGAAUAGAGACGGCCGGUUGCUUAUUAAACAUAUGGAUUCCUGGCAUCCAUCCCAAAGAUUCUGAUUCAAUAGGUCUUCAGUUGCUUUGAUGAACAUGCUUGUCCUCACCAGCACCUCAAGGGAUUCUGAUACAAGUUAUAAUCUGACUAUAGCUCGACAAAAUAUGGCCCUAGGUGGCCCAUGGAGAGACUUCAUCGUAGUCCCGUGAACCCCUGAGAUGGAAUGGCAACUUAGUUUUGUGGGUUCAUAUUCCUGGAAAGGGAACCCAUAUCUUUCUUCAGAUUCCCAAAGGGGUCCUGACCAUGAGCAUUUCGGGGCUGGAAAGGAGGCCCUGAAUCUGGACUCUGCGGUCAGCAAGACAAAGGAAGGAGAUAGAAGAGAAGAGCUAUGUAAACUGGCAUGGCCGUUUAGUGCAUGGAUAUGAGGAAUUAAGCUUGGAGUUUAAAAUAAAUUAAAAUAUUGGAUUUAAAAAAAAGGAGAG
rnacentral:lncRNA from 12 species